UGCACACAAGCUGUAGUGGGAUUUUACUCCUGCUGUGGCGAAGCUAACGCAAUUAGUGUGCCGCCUGGGGAGUACGGUCGCAAGACUAAAACUCAAAGGAAUUGACGGGGGCCCGCACAAGCGGUGGAUUAUGUGGUUUAAUUCGAAGCAACGCGCAGAACCUUACCUAGGCUUGACAUCCCACGACAUCCGUAGAAAUACGGCUUUGUAGCAAUACACGUGGAGACAGGUGCUGCAUGGCUGUCGUCAG
rnacentral:rRNA from 1 species